rnacentral:lncRNA from 1 species
CGACUUCGACCUUCACUUCCUCUUUUUUAAGCCCUGGAAGAUCUGCCUUGAAGACAUGGGCUUCUUGUGUCUCUUUCCAAUCAAUGCGGGUGUUGACAAAGGCUGAAUUUUCACGAGAAAGGAGAGAAUUUGAGGUGGAAGUGAAAGGGAACUCUUUGAGUGGAUCCCAAAUGUCGAAUUCGGACAAUGUGUCGAAGAUGCUGCCGCCUCGGCGGUUGUUAAAGAAGCUCGGAAUCAUUGCCAUCCUUCUUCUUCUUCUUCACAAAAUCACUCGUUUGCUUACUUUGAUGGGCUGGUACUGAUAUUUUGAUUGCUUCUUGUGCUUGUUUUCCUUGAUGUUGUACGAGAGAUGGGACAUGUUGUGUUUUUAUAAGAAGUAAGAGGAGACAUCCAGUGUAUUCUGGAUGACGAAGUUGGACGGUGAUUGAGAAGAUAGACGAACUUUCUCGUAAAUUCCUGAAUCCUUCUGCCUGUGAAUUGAAAAUUAAAAUGGACUUGGUGUUUAAUGGGCUUUUAUUUAUAAUGGGCUCGGGCCUAUUUUGCUUACAGGCCCUCUACUGUUUUAAUUUUUCUUUUUCAUCUUUAAUUUUCGGUUUUCUUUUUCAGAGAAAUAACUUUUGACUCAAGGAUGGGUUUAUUUAAAAAAAAAACAAAUUUAAUUUCUAAUUAGGAAGAUCCUGCAAAACCGGUUAAACAGAUGGAUUAGGAAAAUAAAAUUUAAUGUUUAGAGCACUUAAAGGUAAAUAUAUCAAAAGCUAUUAUAUGGUCUAUUAAUUUUAAGAAGGGGGAUAAAAAUAAAAAGAAUGAGAAAAUCAUAAAUUAAUCCAUAAAAAAUAAAAAAUAAAAUUUAUCUAAUUUUGAAAAGUCAUUUUUUAUAUUUAUUUACCUUGAUUUAAAUUUUAAAUAAAAAAUAGAAACAAAGAAAAGAAAUAAAAUCGCAACCAAAUCCAUCAAAAAUAAUAAAAAUAUUUUUACCUAUGCUGAAAAUAAUGUUUCAUUCCUAUUUUUCUUCACUCUUUUUUAUUCUUGUAUUUAUCUCUUCGUGUGAACAAUUCUUAAAUAAACAAUAUUUUAUAAAGACAUAAAUGCCAUUAAAAAUCAACUUAAUUUUUCAAAACUAGAUCUAUGAUCACAACAUUUUAAGUGGGCUUUGGAGAUAGAUUAUUAAGAUUCAUAUCAUCAUGAUCCACUACGAAACACCUCCAAACGAAUUUAUAGCCCCCGGAACUUUAACUGUGGGUUUGGAAUCCGCAAGAUGCAUAAUGUAUUUUUGUUACUCCUUGAAUUUUUGUACACUGAAUAUCACUCAAAGCCAUGAACUCGGGAAAAAAACAAGGUAAAUAUUUAAUUUCUUAGAAGAUUUUAUUGUAUUGAGGGAAUAAAUAAAAAUAUAUUAUUUUAAUAUAUUUUUAAUUAAAAAAUAUUUUUAAAAAUCACUCUACACUUUAAUAACAAAUAAUUAAAAUAUAUGUAGCCCAAACUCCGCUACUAAAUUACAACUUCCUAAAUGUCUUCAUUAUUAUUAAAAAAAAAAUUCUCAUCAAACCUCUGCAUAGAGUGAAGUUCUUCAUAUGUUGAAGGGGCUACUUGGCGCAGCAAUUGAACCAUCAUUUUAUUAUUUUUUAGUUCUUAUUGUUUUUAAUUAGUAUUUUAAUAUAUUUUUAAAUAAAAAAAAUAUUUUAAAAUAUCAUUAUUAUAAACAUCCCUAAAAUAUGACUAAUCAAGGGUAACAUAAUUUAAAAAUGGCUAUCAAUUGACACUUGAGGGUCCAGCUGCUGUGGUCAACCGUGUGACUUGUUCCGUCCCCAUCCCGGGUUCGACCCUCUAUGUGUACGCCUGUCACCCCCGCGGUACCUUACAUGUUCACUGGGCUUGCAGGAUGCCCAGUGGACCCGGGAACUAGUUGUGGUGCGCGCAAGCUGGCCCGGACACCCCGGUUAUCAAAAACAAAAAUGGCUAUCAAUUGAUCAUGUAUAUGACAGUAUCUUAUAAGUUUAGCACCAUAUUAAAUUCAAGUGCUAUCAGAUUAACAUUCUUAGAGUUGAUUGUAUAUCAAAUUUAAUUGAACAUGGGUCUAACAAAGUACUGGAUCUAUAAUCUUUAGGUUUGAUUGCAUGUUAAGUCCACUUGAUAUGAGUCUAGCAAUCCUCUCAACAUAUUAACUUUCAGUUUGGUUGCAUAUCAGAAUAAUUUGGCUUGCUAUCGCAUUCAUUGACAAUAAGCUUAGCGGUAUGCCAAGUUAAAAAGACUAAAAGUUUGAAGAUUAUUAUAAACCUCGUAUUCUGUUAUAAGAAUUCAAUUGUUUGUUUAUGCUACAUGAAAACCUAAUGUGAUGGUUCAAUAAUAAAAAAUAAAAACAAGGAAAGAGUUGUGGAACUCAGUUCCAUCACUAAGAGCUUUAAAGAAAUGAUAUAACGACGUAACAGUAGUGAUAAGAAUAAGAAGAAUCUUCUUCCCUUUUGUUUCUUCAGAACUCCAGAUUGUUCUAGGAAAAUCAGAAUUAAUUGACGAUGUCAAUUCUUAUGAUGAAACAAGAACUGUUAUUAGCAAAACUGUUUACUUACAUAAUACAUUUGAACACUAAAGAACCCAAAAUUCUUACAAACCCAUGAUAUUCAAUGCGCAUUCUCUCAUUCAGUUAACCAGAGAUUUCAAUAGCCUUGACACCGUCACCAGGUUUCUUGAGCUCCUCUUUAGGCACAGUCACAGUAAGAACUCCGUUUUCCAUAGAAGCCUUGACGUGAUCCAUUUUCGCAUCCUCGGGGAGCCUAAACCUCCUCAAGAACUUGCCACUGCUUCGCUCCACCCUAUGCCAUGUAUCGUUCUUGUCUUCCUUCUCAACAUUCCUUUCUCCGCUAAUCUGAAGCACCCUGUCAUCUUCAACUUCGACCUUCACUUCCUCUUUUUUAAGCCCUGGAAGAUCUGCCUUGAAGAUAUGGGCUUCUGGUGUCUCUUUCCAAUCCACGCGGGUGUUUACAAAGGCUGAAUUUUCACGAGAAAGGAGAGAAUUUGAGGUGGCAGUGAAAGGGGAAAAGACCUUGAACGGAUCCCAAAUGUCAAAAGAAGAGAAUGGAUCGAUAAUGCUUCUGCCUCGGUGGUUGUCAAAGAAGCUUGGAAUCAUUUCCAUCUUAUCCAGAAAAUCUUGUAGCUUGAUGGUUUGCUGUUAAUCACCUGACUAGUUUUCUUGCUCUUGAUUUCUCGAUGUCAUGUCAAAGGCGACACGGGUUGGUAUUUAUAAUGAGUAAACGAGCCAUCUGGUACAUUCUGGACGGUCGACUGGGACCCUGUUUCAGGAACAUUCUGGGUCUCCACCCAGAUUUUAAUUUGAGAAAUUGAGGAACUUACUCGAAAGUUCCUGUUUCUUCGUGGCUGUAGAUUUAAAACGAGGGCCGAUUGGGCUGGAAUAUAUAAUGGGCCUAAGUCUUGGUUUAGUAUUUUGCUUUUGGGCUUUGUAAUGUUUGAUUUCCCUUUUCUAUUCCUUGUAUACACCAGAUUAUUUUUCUUUUGUAUCAGUUUAAUAUAGAGGUGAUUUAUGGAUUCUGUUUUAAGAUCCUAGUAAAAAUUUUCAUUAAGUUAUUUAUGGGUUGGGAAAUUUCUUGGUGAAGACAACCCAUGGAUCAUUGUAAAAAAAUUCAAUAGUAACUUUGAAAAGCUUAAAAAAUUGUAAAAAUAAUUCAACUCCAUUGUAAAAAUCUCAGGACAAAAAGUCCUAAAAAAACCACUCAAAUAAAAAAAAACCCGUUGAAAUAAAAAUAGAUUUUAUCAGUUUAGAAAAAAAAAUUAAAAUAACUUGUUUUUAAUAACAUCUGGGUUUAAACCAUAAAAACACUCAAUUUUAUUGUUUUAUCUUAAUUUCAAAACCAAACAUAUUUAAAAAAAAUCAUAUCAAAUCACUUGAUUGUCAUAUGAUAUGCUUAAUAAAAAUGCUAAAUAAAUGCGUGUUUUUGUUUUUACAUUAUAAUAUGUUUUUAAAGUUAUUUUUUGUUUUAAAAAAAUAUAAAAUUAAUGUUUUUUAUAUAUAUUUUUAAUAAUUUUGAUUUGUUGAUAUUAACAAUCAAAAAUAUAUUUUUAAUUAAAAAAAUCUUUAGAUAUACAUUCAACACCACCAUACCUAUAGAAUAGGUGUAGCACAAACUCUAAUCCUAAAUUACAAUUUCCUAAAUGUUAUUAUUAUUAUUACUAUUAUUAUUAUUAUUUGAUGUUCAAGGGGGGAGAGAGUGCAUUUCUCAUCAUACCUAUCCGUAAAGCGAAGUUCUAGAGAUGUCGAAAGAACUAUUUGUCACAAUGGUUGAACCACUUUUUUAACAAUUGAUUUUGCUUUAAAUUAUUUUUUUAUUUUUUAAAAAUAUAUUAAUAUUAAAAAUAAAUUUUAAAAAAUAAAAAUUAUAUAAUUUUAAUAUAUUUCCAAAUAAGAAAUAUCUAAAAAAGCAACUUCUACUCCUCUCUUAUACCACCCCCGAAAUAUGAUCAAUGAAGGGCAGCGCAGUUUGAAAAUGACCAUCAGUUUACAAUGUAUAUGGUAUCCUUUUCAGCUCAUUCACUUAAGAAAUUAUGGGUGACCUUCAACUCUAAUUUCCAAAAGAAAAUAACAAAACUAAACAGCCAAGAAAGAGGUCUUUUGUUGCUGGAGUUCUUCAAGGUGAAAACCCUGGAUUUGCGAGGAGCAAACGAAGUGGGAACUGGUACGACUUCUGCAACUACGCAGUAAAAAUAGCAGGCUAUGGAAGGACGUUACAAAUUUGAUCGUGGCAAUCAAAUAGAUACGGUAGCUUUGGUGAGAAUCCGAGACUGUACUUUUGAUGUUUCUCCUAGAGGUCUUUUGUUGCUCUUAUGAAGCCUUCAGGAUGAUUUUGAUUCUAUCUGUAUGAAGUAAUACCUAUAAACUACUAAUUAUUGUAAGACGUGAAAUAUAUUUAUUGGAACACAGGAUGAGAUUUUAAUUCUAUGAUAAAUUUGUGAUCAUAGCGUUGGCUUGAUAGGGUUUGGAUUUGCAGUUAAGAGAGCCUUCCCCUGUUGCCAGAAUUAAUGAUCUUUCAGAGGCACUCUAUGUUGAAGUUCAAGACGAUCAAGAAAGUAUAUUGUAAAGAAACUUCACAGGAUUGUUGAAAGAACUUCUCUGAUUUUGAGGAUUGGCAAAACUGUUAUGUUACAUUCAUAAUAGAUUGAAUCCUAUGUGCACACUUACAGUAACAGAGAACUUCCAACCAAUUGUAAAAACACAAAAGAACAAUUCUUACAGACACAGAAUAUUCAAUAGGCAUUCUCUUACUCAAUUAACUAGAGAUUUCAAUCGCCUUGACUUCAGGUUUCUUGAUCUCUUCUUUAGGCACAGUCACGGUAAGAACUCCAUUUUCCAUAGAUGCCUUGACCUUAUCCAUUUUUGCAUUCUCAGGCAGCCUGAACCUCCUCGAGAACUUGCCACUGCUUCGCUCCACCCUAUGCCAUGUAUCGUUCUUGUCUUCCUUCUCCACAUUCCUUUCUCCGCUAAUCUGAAGCACCUUGUCAUCUUCAAUUUCGACCUUCACUUCCUCUUUUUUAAGCCCUGGAAGAUCUGCCUUGAAGAUAUGGGCUUCUGGUGUCUCUUUCCAAUCAAUGCGGGUGUUGACAAAGGCUGAAUUUUCACGAGAAAGGAGAGAAUUUGAGGUGGAAGUGAAAGGGAAGUCUUUGAGUGGAUCCCAAACGUCGAAUGCAGAGACUAGGUCGAAAAUGCUGUUGGCUCGUCGGUUGUAAAAGAAGCUUGGAAUUGUUGCCAUCUUUCACUUCUUUCUUCAGAGAAUUAAUCUUCGUUUACUUGCUGCUAUUGUUUUGAUUGCUUCUUCUUGUUCUUGAUUUUUAUGUGCUAGAGGCGGGACAGGUCGGGUAUUUAUAAGUAAAGGAGGCAUCUGGUUUGUUCUGGACGAUCGAGUAGUACGCUGAACCAGGAGGAUUCUGGGUCCAACCAACAUCAGAUAAGAUUGAAGAACUUUCUCGUAAAUUCCUGAGUCCUCGGUUGUGAAUUGAAAAUGUGUGGAUUUUAUAUUCAAUUGGGUUUGAUUUUUUUAAUGGGCUGAAGCCUUUGUUUUCCUAUUUUUUUCAUGGGCCAGUCUACUGUUAUCAUUGUUUUCUUUUUCUUGCCUUAAAAGAUUUUUAGCUUAUUUUUACAUUUUCAAAAUAUUAUUUUAAUGUAUUUUAGAUAAAAAAAAAUACUUAAAAAAUCAAAUGCUAUCACAAUAAUAAACAGACUUUUAAUACACGAAGGUCUUGUAAAUGAAUAAAAGACUUAAAUCAUGAAAAUAAGAAUUUAAUAUAUAGACAUUACUUAGAAAAUAAAUAAUUUCGUCCUCUAAUUAUUUAUUUAUAUAUAUUAAUGAUUGAUUGAUAAUCACAUGUAAAAGUUUAAAACUAUCUAUUAUUCUUUUAAUCAGAACCUUGUAUAAAUAAAAAAUGACCGAUUAUUUACAGCAUUAAAAACUCACUUAAUAUUGUGAUAAUUUUUACUUUUAAAAAAUAAUUUUUUAUAAUUUUAAUAUAUUAAUAUAAAAAAAUAUUAUUUUAAUAUAUUUUCAAAUAUAUAACCAACACUCCAUAUUAAAAAAUUCAAGGAACUAGUUGCAUAAUAGCUUCGAUGUUAUGCUGAGCAGCUCAAAACUUAAAAACUAAUGGUCAUUGACUGAAAAUUCUCAGCUCUUUGUUAUCCUGGGAAAUUCAAUAACUUCAAUGUUGCGUGCUUGAAAUCUAGGGGUUACCAUGAUCUUUUGGACGGCUGGAUCUGUCACUGCAUCCAUCUAUUAUCAACAAUACGAUCGACGGUCAUUAUCUCACCACGAUAUCAUGGACGAGCAAGCAUGGGGCGUAGAAACGAGAUGUUGCAAGAAACCGAGUUCCAUCUCCAGAUUAUUCAAGCUAGGAAAUUAAAUAGUAUACUCGAUAUGAUGAACAAUUUAUGUUCUGAAUGCAUCCUUCUAACUCUUACGCCUCAAAGAGAUUUACACAGGGAGGGAAGGGAAGAUCAAAAAUCAAGAUACGCACAAAUUUACAAGCAACCAAGAAAAGAUACAGGAAAUUUUAUUAGCAAAACUUUUGAUUACAUUACUCCUCUCUGCAUACUGACGAGAAGACCAAACCUUUCAAUUACUUGUAAAAGAGCACAAUAGAGCAAAAAAGACACACAAUUCUCAAAAGAGGUACUAUCUCGUUCAACCAGAGAUUUCUAUAGCCUUGACAUCAGGUUUCUUGAUCUCUUCUUUAGGCACAGUCACGGUAAGAACUCCAUUUUCCAUAGAAGCCUUGACCUGAUCCAUUUUUGCAUUCUCAGGCAGCCUGAACCUCCUCGAGAACUUGCCACUGCUUCGCUCCACCCUAUGCCAUGUAUCGUUCUUGUCUUCCUUCUCCACAUUCCUUUCUCCGCUAAUCUGAAGCACCCUGUCAUCUUCAAUUUCGACCUUCACUUCCUCUUUUUUAAGCCCUGGAAGAUCUGCCUUGAAGACAUGGGCUUCUGGUGUCUCUUUCCAAUCAACGCGGGUGUUGACAAAGGCUGAGUUUUCACGAGAAAGGAGAGAAUUUGAGGUGGAAGUGAAAGGGAACUCUUUGAGUGGAUCCCAAAUGUCGAAUUCGGAGAAUGUGUCGAAGAUGCUGCCGCCUCGGCGGUUGUUAAAGUAUCUCGGAAUCAUUGCCAUCCUUCUUC